GCGGCAACAGCUCAAAUUUGAAAGCUGGCCCCCCCGGGGGUCCGCGUUGUAAUUUGUAGAGGAUGAUUCGGCGAGGGCUCCCGCCUAAGUCCCCUGGAACGGGGCGUCAUAGAGGGUGAGAAUCCCGUAUGCGGUGGGCUGCCUUAGCCACGUGAAUCUCCUUCGACGAGUCGAGUUGUUUGGGAAUGCAGCUCUAAAUGGGAGGUAAAUUUCUUCUAAAGCUAAAUACCGGCCAGAGACCGAUAGCGCACAAGUAGAGUGAUCGAAAGAUGAAAAGCACUUUGGAAAGAGAGUUAAAAAGUACGUGAAAUUGUUGAAAGGGAAGCGCUUGCAGCCAGACUUGUCCGCAGUUGCUCAGCCGGUCUCCUGACCGGCGCACUCUUCUGCGGCCAGGCCAGCAUCAGUUCGGGCGGUCGGAUAAAGGCCCCGGGAACGUAGCUCCUCUCGGGGAGUGUUAUAGCCCGGGGUGGAAUGCGGCCAGCCCGGACUGAGGAUCUCGCUUCGGCUAGGAUGCUGGCGUA
rnacentral:rRNA from 1 species